rnacentral:lncRNA from 1 species
GACAAGCCUAGAUCAGAGCCGACACGACACCGAUAUCGGAGGAAGCUCCCGAUAUCCCAAGCAAAGACUCACCGAGACUACUCCUGCACAACGUCUACUCACCCAUACAAGCAAGUAGGCGGUUAAAACCACUGGGGGUAAGCAUUACAUUAUCAUAAUCCAGAUAAUAAUCAAAUCAAAUAAUAUCAUGUACUUGAAUAAUAUUAGCCAUGCAUAAACACUUAUACCACAACUUGAUAGUUCGUAUCCACAUAUAUCAAUCACAUGAAUAAUUAUCCAAUCAUAAAUAUUCAUUCACAACAUCAAUCAUAGACAAUCAUUAUCAACAUUCAUUCAUCUCAAAUCAUCACCAAUCACCCAAUUCACAUAGGACUCAUGCUAUGAUAUGCACUUAUGGACACAUAAAUGCAUGCGGUACCAAAUCUCAACAAGGUCGUCACCUUUCGAUGCCACUUGCACAUCGAUUGUAAGGGCUCACACCUGCCUUACAAUAAUCUCGAAGUACAUGAUAUAUAAGACAUGUGUAAUCCCUUUUACAGCAACAACGACUAUGAUGCAUGGACAUGUGUAAUGACUCGAUAAUGCGACAACAAUUCUCAAUCUCAACUCAAUAUAUAGGACAACACCCAAUUAUAUUGAUUAUCUCCACAACAUUGCAUUACCAAGAAAACAUGCCCACACACAGUUAAAUCAUAGUAUUCAUCAUCACACAAACAACUUGAUUAUCAACAAUCAACAAUAUCUUUCACACAAUUCACUUAUCACAUGAAUAAUUCACCACACUAUCUCGGAACGAAACAACUAGAACAAGUCGAACACUAUUAACCAAUCUUAUCCAAUAAUGUUUACAUGAAGUUAAGUCGUCUUCGGACUAUCAUACAAGACCAAGCACAACUUAAGUUCAUAAAGGAAUCCCGUUUUCACAACCUUUCAUUACCCACUCAAAAAUAUCAUUUUACUUUGAUUAAGGUAUUGACCACCCUUGCAAGCAUCACCUAAGUCUAUAUGAGCUGUAGGUCUACUUGCAAGCCUCAUUGGAUUACAAAAUUUGUUUUUCGACAAAGUUUGGAACUCUCAAAAUCUCACAAGUUAAGACUCAUUUCAAAAAUCCCAAGUAUAUGCGAACACUCAUCGUUCCAGCAGGCUUUGGGGAAUUAACAGUGGUUUAACAUGUUUAAAACAUCAUUUUAAGAAAACUCGGAUUGGUCCCCAAAGACCGGAACGAA